rnacentral:rRNA from 1 species
CACGUAGGGGACGAGCGUUGUCCGGAUUCAUUGGGCGUAAAGCGCGUGUAGGCGGUCCGGUAAGUCGGCUGUGAAAGUCCAGGGCUCAACCCUGGGAUGCCGGUCGAUACUGCCGGACUAGAGUGCAGAAGGGGCAACUGGAAUUCUCGGUGUAGCGGUGAAAUGCGUAGAUAUCGAGAGGAACACCUGCGGCGAAGGCGGGUUGCUGGGCUGACACUGACGCUGAUGCGCGAAAGCUAGGGGAGCGAACGGG